rnacentral:rRNA from 1 species
CCUACGGGCGGCAGCAGUGAGGAAUAUUGGUCAAUGGGCGCGAGCCUGAACCAGCCAAGUCGCGUGAGGGAAGACGGUCCUAUGGAUUGUAAACUUCUUUUAUCGGGGAGCAAAAGGCGCCACGCGUGGCGUUUCGAGAGUACCCGAAGAAAAAGCAUCGGCUAACUCCGUGCCAGCAGCCGCGGUAAUACGGAGGAUGCGAGCGUUAUCCGGAUUUAUUGGGUUUAAAGGGUGCGAGGGCGGAAGAUCAAGUCAGCGGUAAAAUUGGGAGGCUCAACCUCUUCGAGCCGUUGAAACUGGUUUUCUUGAGUGAGCGAGAGGUAUGCGGAAUGCGUGGUGUAGCGGUGAAAUGCAUAGAUAUCACGCAGAACUCCGAUUGCGAAGGCAGCAUACCGGCGCUCAACUGACGCUCAUGCACGAAAGUGUGGGUAUCGAACAGGAUUAGAUACCCGUGUAGUC